rnacentral:rRNA from 1 species
AUACGUAGGUGACAAGCGUUAUCCGGAUUUACUGGGCGUAAAGGGCGUGUAGGCGGUCUUGCAAGUCAGAAGUGAAAUUCCUGAGCUCAACUCGGGCGCUGCUUCUGAAACUGCAGGACUUGAGUGCUGGAGGGGAUAGCGGAAUUCCUAGUGGAGCGGUAAAAUGCGCAGAUAUUAGGAGGAACACCAGUGGCGAAGGCGGCUUGCUGGACGACAACUGACGCUGAGGCGCGAAAGCGUGGGGAGCAAACAGGAUUAGAUACCCUGGUAGUCCACGCCCUAAACGAUGAAUACUAGGUGUGGGGGGACUGACCCCUUCCGCGCCGGAGUAAACACAAUAAGUAAUCCACCUGGGGAGUACGGCCGCAAGGUUGAAACUCAAAUGAAUUGGCGGGG